UACGUAGGGUGCGAGCGUUAAUCGGAAUUACUGGGCGUAAAGCGUGCGCAGGCGGUGCUGCAAGACCGAUGUGAAAGCCCCGGGCUUAACCUGGGAACUGCAUUGGUGACUGCAGCGCUGGAGUAUGGCAGAGGGGGGUGGAAUUCCACGUGUAGCAGUGAAAUGCGUAGAGAUGUGGAGGAACACCGAUGGCGAAGGCAGCCCCCUGGGCCAAUACUGACGCUCAUGCACGAAAGCGUGGGGAGCAAACAGG
rnacentral:rRNA from 1 species